ensembl:lncRNA
GUUCAUGGAAAUCUUUACAUGCUAAAUUGAGUAGUAGACUCUCGGUUAUCCAUAUGAAUAAAGGGAAAUAUGACAUAAAUAAAGCAGAAUAACAGAUAAACUUUGGACAAAGCAGAAUGGCAAAUAAAAUCACUUCUACUGGACUCCAAAUACAACAUGAUAUGUUUUCUCCAGGAGAAAAAUUUAGUCUUCUUAGAAAAAAGCAACUGACAACAAAAGGAUGAAUACUACUAAAAUGAAGGAUGAAAGUAAGAUCCAAGGAGGAAAACCAACUUACAUCAGGACACAUAGUAAAUGGAAAAACUCAGACUAAAACAACACUACUAGACCAGAAGUCAUAUUCAGAGAAAGGCAAAAUUCUGAUCAUCUAAUGCCUUUUGAAUACAAACCCAGAAUCCUUUACAUCAUAUGGCUAAGCACCUGGAACCAGUUACGGAAUGUCUACACAUAAGAAAUCACCUGAGAAUUCUAUGCAUGCUCAUGCUUCAUUGUUCCCUUUGAACAAUGCAUAGAAGAUGGAUUUUUAUUUGUUUAUUAUCUCUAGUUUAUUCUGUAUAUAUCUUAUUUGUGCAUAGUUGUUUGUAUGUUUACCCUCCCCCCCCGAAUGAGUUCCUUGAAAGCAGAAACGAUGAAACAAUCUUUUGCCUUCCUUUGUAACCCUAGUGUUUAGCACAGCGCCAGACAUGUAAAAGGCAUUUAAUAAAUGCUAUUGAUUAAUCUUUUAUUUCUCAAAAUAAAUUGUUAUCAUUUGUUUAGUUCUACAAAGUACCUUUUUGGUUGUUGUUUGUCCUUUGGUCUGAAAAAAAGACCAAUGGCAUCAAGAAAAUGAUGUCUUAACUUGCAAGUGAAUUGCAUUUAAGUGAGGGAUGGCUGUGCAAAGUCAUCAACCUCCCUCUCUCCUCCAGUCUUUGGAGUCCAAUGGAAACACAUAGUUAGGACAAUAGGAGAUAUCCUAAGUACAGUGAGAGACUUUGGCCUUUUUAAGCUAAGGUUUUUCCCAGGUCUCAGUUUAUCUGAGACAACACCCAUUUAGUGAUUAAAGGCUAGGUAAAAAUUGAAGUAAAAGAAUUUGCUUUCCCAAAGAAUCAAUCUGAGAGGUGAAGACCCUCAAGAUUUCAGGCCAGAACUGAAACAACUGCCAUUUAUACUCACUGUGAGCCAUCAAAACUUAGACAAAGAGCAAGUGAGGUUUGGCCUGGGACCUAUUAUUGGCCAAUCAGUGAGAGAUUUGGGUUUAAAGGAAUAGUCAAGUAGCUCCAUUUGAAUCACUAUGGGUUUUAACAGUCUGAUUUUUUUUAUAGCUAUUUUUCCAGAAAUCACAAAUAAUAACUAUAUGAGGCAAAAUAAUUAAUUGUUCUGAUUUAAGAAAAAAGGCAUAGAACAUAUAAGUGAGGAAGAGGGAAAAAAAGGAAUAAAAGAAAAAAAUCUGUCCUUAGCAUUUAUUAAGUGUUUUUUGUAUAUUUGGCACUAUGCUAAGCACUAGGGGUACAAAGGAAGGCAAAAAAUAGUUUCUGCUUUCAAAGAAUUCACACUCUAAGGGAGGAGAAAACAUAAAACAACUAUGCACAAAUAAUAUAUAUACAGAAAAAUUGGAGAUAAUAAACAAAGGAAGACUUUGGCUUCCAAAGGGAACAAUGAAGUGUAUUCACUGAGUGUGUGGGCUAGACAAUGUUUCUCCUGUGAACAGAGGGAGAGAAAGAGGUAGAAAGGAGGAGGCAGAAUUUUAGGAUUAGGUAGCAUAAUUGAUAAAGUACAUAUAGUGUCUGUAGAGUGAAAAUAUAAAUUGAUAUAAAUAGUAUAAAAAUUUUAUUACAUAGGUAAGCUCUCACCAAAAAUAGUGACUAGGUCUGCAAUUUAAUCCUUUAUUUCUAUAAAAAUGUUGUUUAUUGUUAUGCUUUUGUCAGUCAUGUCAGUCUCUUUGUGACCCCAUUUGGAAUUUUAUUGACAAAGAUAAUGGAAUCAGCUCAUUUUACAGAUGAGGAAACUGAGAUCAACAAAGCUAAGUGACUUGUCACACAGCUGGUAAGUGUCUGAGGCCCACUUUUGAACUCAUGAAAAUGAGUCUGACUCCAAAUCUGGCACUCUAACCACUGCCCCAUAAAGAGUAUGCUGUUGAUAUACUUAUGUACAUUUAGAUGAGUUUUGUGAAACUUGCUCUCAAAUGUUUAAUGCAUUUAAAAACUAUUUUGAAUGGAAUUCCUUCAUGUAGCUCUUUUUGUUUUGUUUUAUUUUGUUUGUGAUGUU